GACUGCACACAAUGCAGAUAGUGAUUUCAGCUCUUAUAUAUUUAUAAUAUGAUACUGAGCUGAAACUGAAAUUUUGAUUUCUUUAAAUCGCAAUAAUAAAUCAGCGGAUAGAAAGAAAUACAGAGAAUCACCCUAUAGGACUACCAAGCCUUUUUUUCAUAGGUUUAAACAAAAAAAGGGUUACGAGAACACCUCACCGGUAUGAGGAAGAUGUGGACAGUUGCACUGAUACUUCUAUCAGUAUCGACAGUUCGUACACAAAAUGUGACAAGUACUAGUACCACUACAAGUGACACGACUACGACCCCGAUGACAACCGCAACAUCGACUACAAAUGAAACAACGACAACUCCCACAACUACCACCCCGACGACAAACGCAACGUCGACCACAACUGAAACACCUACAACUCCUACAACUACCACCCCGAUUACAACCGCAACAUCGACCACAACUGACACAACAACCACUCCAACGACAACCGCAACGUCGACCACAACUGAAACACCUACAACUCCCACAACU